GACGAACGCUGGCGGCGUGCUUAACACAUGCAAGUCGAACGGAAAGGCCCUGCUUUUGUGGGGUGCUCGAGUGGCGAACGGGUGAGUAACACGUGAGUAACCUGCCCUUGACUUUGGGAUAACUUCAGGAAACUGGGGCUAAUACCGGAUAGGAGCUCCUGCUGCAUGGUGGGGGUUGGAAAGUUUCGGCGGUUGGGGAUGGACUCGCGGCUUAUCAGCUUGUUGGUGGGGUAGUGGCUUACCAAGGCUUUGACGGGUAGCCGGCCUGAGAGGGUGACCGACCACAUUGGGACUGAGAUACGGCCCAGACUCCUACGGGAGGCAGCAGUGGGGAAUAUUGCACAAUGGGCAGAAGCCUGAUGCAGCAACGCCGCGUGCGGGAUGACGGCCUUCGGGUUGUAAACCGCUUUCGCCUGUGACGAAGCGUGAGUGACGGUAAUGGGUAAAGAAGCACCGGCUAACUACGUG
rnacentral:rRNA from 1 species